AACUUUUGGCAACGGAUCUCUUGGUUCUGGCAUCGAUGAAGAACGCAGCGAAAUGCGAUAAGUAAUGCGAAUUGCAGAAUUUCCGUGAGUCGUCGAAUCUUUGAACGCACCUUGCGCCCACUGGUAUUCCGGUGGGCAUGCCUGUUCGAGCGUCAUUAUCCUCCCUCAAACCUCGGGUUUGGUGUUGGACCCAAGUUGUGUGAACAACUGGUCUCAAAGACAAUGACGGCGUCCGUGGGACCCUCGGUGCAACGAGCUUUUAACGAGCACGCGUCGAGUUUCAAGGACCUUCCGGGCCGGUCUCCUUCUUUUAUUCACAAAGGUUGACCUCGGAUCAGGUAGGAAUACCCGCUGAACUUAAGCAUAUCAAUAAGCGGAGGCU
rnacentral:misc_RNA from 1 species